rnacentral:rRNA from 1 species
GACGAACGCUGGCGGCGUGCUUAACACAUGCAAGUCGAGCGGUAAGGCCCCUUCGGGGGUACACGAGCGGCGAACGGGUGAGUAACACGUGAGCAAUCUGCCCAUCACAUCGGGAUAACUUCGGGAAACCGGAGCUAAUACCGAAUACGACCACCUCCGGCAUCGGAUGGUGGUGGAAAGUUCCGGCGGUGAUGGAUGAGCUCGCGGCCUAUCAGCUUGUUGGUGGGGUAACGGCCCACCAAGGCUUCGACGGGUAGCCGGCCUGAGAGGGUGACCGGCCACACUGGGACUGAGACACGGCCCAGACUCCUACGGGAGGCAGCAGUGGGGAAUAUUGGACAAUGGGCGAAAGCCUGAUCCAGCAACGCCGCGUGAGGGAUGACGGCCUUCGGGUUGUAAACCUCUUUCAGCAGGGACGAAGCGCAAGUGACGGUACCUGCAGAAGAAGCACCGGCCAACUACGUGCCAGCCGCCGCCGUAACAC